rnacentral:rRNA from 1 species
GAUGAACGCUGGCGGCGUGCCUAAUACAUGCAAGUCGAGCGAACAGACGAGGAGCUUGCUCCUCUGACGUUAGCGGCGGACGGGUGAGUAACACGUGGAUAACCUACCUAUAAGACUGGGAUAACUUCGGGAAACCGGAGCUAAUACCGGAUAAUAUAUCGAACCGCAUGGUUCAAUAGUAAAAGACGGUUUUGCUGUCACUUAUAGAUGGAUCCGCGCCGCAUUAGCUAGUUGGUAAGGUAACGGCUUACCAAGGCAACGAUGCGUAGCCGACCUGAGAGGGUGAUCGGCCACACUGGAACUGAGACACGGUCCAGACUCCUACGGGAGGCAGCAGUAGGGAAUCUUCCGCAAUGGGCGAAAGCUUGACGGAGCAACGCCGCGUGAGUGAUGAAGGUCUUCGGAUCGUAAAACUCUGUUAUUAGGGAAGAACAAAUGUGUAAGUAACUAUGCACGUCUUGACGGUACCUAAUCAGAAAGCCACGGCUAACUACGUG